rnacentral:rRNA from 1 species
GUGCACGACUGGCGAGCGGCCGCGGGAGGAGGUAGGAGGCGAGCGUGGUCCGUCUGCGUUGGGCGUAAAGAGGUCGCAGGCGGGUUGGCAAGUCGGAGGGGAAAACCCGAAGCUCAACUUCGGGCCUGCAUCCGAAACUGCCCGACUAGAGGUAGGUAGGGGAGAUCGGAAUUCCUGGUGUAGCGGUGAAAGGCGCAGAUAUCAGGAGGAACACCGGUGGCGAAGGCGGAUCUCUGGGCCUUACCUGACGCUCAGGUGCGAAAGCUAGGGGAGCGAACAGGAUUAGAUACCCUGGUAGUC